CGUAGGGGCAAGCGUUGUCCGGAUUUAUUGGGCGUAAAGAGCGUGUAGGCGGCCACACAGGUCCGUUGUGAAAACUCGAGGCUCAACCUCGAGACGUCGAUGGAAACCGUGUGGCUAGAGUCCGGAAGAGGAGUGUGGAAUUCCUGGUGUAGCGGUGAAAUGCGCAGAUAUCAGGAAGAACACCUAUGGCGAAGGCAGCACUCUGGGACGGUACUGACGCUGAGACGCGAAAGCGUGGGGAGCGAACAGGAUUAGAUACCCUGGUAGUCCACGCCGUAAACGAUGGAUGCUAGGUGUGGGCGGUGUCGACUCCGUCCGUGCCGAAGCUAACGCAUUAAGCAUCCCGCCUGGGGAGUACGGCCGCAAGGCUA
rnacentral:rRNA from 1 species